UACAGAGGGGGCAAGCGUUGUUCGGAAUUACUGGGCGUAAAGGGCGCGUAGGCGGCCUGUUAAGUCGAACGUGAAAUCCCCGGGCUCAACCCGGGAACUGCGUCCGAUACUGGCAGGCUUGAAUCCGGGAGAGGGAUGCGGAAUUCCUGGUGUAGAGGUGAAAUUCGUAGAUAUCAGGAGGAACAUCGGUGGCGAAAGCGGCGCACUGGCCCGAUACUGACGCUCAUGUACGAAAGCGUGGGGAGCAAACAGG
rnacentral:rRNA from 1 species